rnacentral:rRNA from 1 species
GAUGAACGCUGGCGGCGUGCCUAAUACAUGCAAGUAGAACGCUGAAGCUUGGUGCUUGCACCGAGCGGAUGAGUUGCGAACGGGUGAGUAACGCGUAGGUAACCUGCCUCUUAGCGGGGGAUAACUAUUGGAAACGAUAGCUAAUACCGCAUAAAAGUCGAUAUCGCAUGAUAUUGAUUUGAAAGGUGCAAAUGCAUCACUAAGAGAUGGACCUGCGUUGUAUUAGCUAGUUGGUGAGGUAACGGCUCACCAAGGCGACGAUACAUAGCCGACCUGAGAGGGUGAUCGGCCACACUGGGACUGAGACACGGCCCAGACUCCUACGGGAGGCAGCAGUAGGGAAUCUUCGGCAAUGGGGGCAACCCUGACCGAGCAACGCCGCGUGAGUGAAGAAGGUUUUCGGAUCGUAAAGCUCUGUUGUAAGAGAAGAACGAGUGUGAGAGUGGAAAGUGCACACUGUGACGGUAACUUACCAGAAAGGGACGGCUAACUACGU